rnacentral:lncRNA from 1 species
UAUUCCCAUGUCAAAUGAUGGGAAUCUUAUAUUCCCAUGGGAAUAUAAAAUAACCAAGCAUAACUUCCCACUCUCAUGUUAUUUUAACACAUUUAUUUUUAAUUUUUUAAUUUUUAAAAUUUAAUUAAAUAAAACUUAAAAAUAUUCCUAGGAACUUUAUUGAUUUUGCCAAACACAUUGAUGAGAAUAAAGUUCCUGGCAAUACUAUUCCUAGGAAUGAUAUUCCCGGGAUUAUAAUUUUAAUCCAUCAAAAAAAAAUAUUCCUAGGAACUUUAUUGAUUUUGCCAAACACAUUGAUGAGAAUAAAGUUCCUGGCAAUACUAUUCCUAGGAAUGAUAUUCCCGGGAUUAUAAUUUUAAUCCAUCAAACAAACACACCCU